GAUGAACGCUGGCGGCGUGCCUAAUACAUGCAAGUCGAGCGAACAGACGAGGAGCUUGCUCCUCUGACGUUAGCGGCGGACGGGUGAGUAACACGUGGAUAACCUACCUAUAAGACUGGGAUAACUUCGGGAAACCGGAGCUAAUACCGGAUAAUAUAUUGAACCGCAUGGUUAAAUAGUAAAAAAGGGUUUUGCUGUCACUUAUAGAUGGAUCCGCGCCGCAUUAGCUAGUUGGUAAGGUAACGGCUUACCAAGGCAACGAUGCGUAGCCGACCUGAGAGGGUGAUCGGCCACACUGGAACUGAGACACGGUCCAGACUCCUACGGGAGGCAGCAGUAGGGAAUCUUCCGCAAUGGGCGAAAGCCUGACGGAGCAACGCCGCGUGAGUGAUGAAGGUCUUCGGAUCGUAAAACUCUGUUAUUAGGGAAGAACAAAUGUGUAAGUAACUAUGCACGUCUUGACGGUACCUAAUCAGAAAGCCACGGCUAACUACGUG
rnacentral:rRNA from 1 species